rnacentral:rRNA from 1 species
UGGGGAAUAUUGGACAAUGGGGGCAACCCUGAUCCAGCGAUGCCGCGUGUGUGAAGAAGGCCUUCGGGUUGUAAAGCACUUUCGGUGGGGACAAACAUGGCGGGGCGAAUACCUCCGCCUUUGAUGGUACCCAAAGAAGAAGCACCGGCUAACUCUGUGCCAGCAGCCGCGGUAAU